rnacentral:rRNA from 1 species
GACGAACGCUGGCGGCGUGCCUAAUACAUGCAAGUAGAACGCUGAAGGAGGAGCUUGCUCUUCUGGAUGAGUUGCGAACGGGUGAGUAACGCGUAGGUAACCUGCCUGGUAGCGGGGGAUAACUAUUGGAAACGAUAGCUAAUACCGCAUAACAGUAGAUGUUGCAUGACAUUUACUUAAAAGGUGCAAUUUCAUCACUACCAGAUGGACCUGCGUUGUAUUAGCUAGUUGGUGGGGUAACGGCCCACCAAGGCGACGAUACAUAGCCGACCUGAGAGGGGGAGCGGCCACACUGGAACUGAGACACGGCCCAGACUCCCACGGGAGGCAGCAGUAGGGAAUCUUCGGCAAUGGGCGAAAGCCUGACGGAGCAACGCCGCGUGAGUGAUGAAGGUGUUCGGAUCGGAAAGCUCUGUUGUAAGGGAAGAACAAAUGUGGAAGUAAAGAUGCCCGUCUUGACGGUACCUAAUCAGAAAGGGACGGCCAACUACGUG